rnacentral:rRNA from 1 species
UACGUAGGGCGCAAGCGUUGUCCGGAAUUAUUGGGCGUAAAGAGCUCGUAGGCGGUCUGUCGCGUCUGUUGUGAAAACUUGAGGCUCAACCUCGGGCUUGCAGUGGAUACGGGCAGACUAGAGUGAUGUAGGGGAGACUGGAAUUCCUGGUGUAGCGGUGAAAUGCGCAGAUAUCAGGAGGAACACCGAUGGCGAAGGCAGGUCUCUGGGCAUUAACUGACGCUGAGGAGCGAAAGCAUGGGGAGCGAACAGG